rnacentral:lncRNA from 1 species
AUAAAUUCAUCUUUAGUAUUUUUCCUGUUUUCUUUUCAAGUUCAUGAGAAAAGUAUAUUAAUUCCUGCAAUGUAAGUAUUGGCAUUCUCAUUUAACAGUGCAUACUGAAGUAAAUAUUGUUAUAGACGAUAUCAAUGAUGACUCUGAAUACCAAAAUGAAUACUUUUAAGUUCAUGUACACCUUACAACAAAGCUACUGUACUUUUUAACAAUAUUAUACAUGUAUAGGGAUGUCAAAGUGAGACUAUCAGUAUUUGAAAUACUCAUAAUUAAUUACACAGGGAAGGCAUUUCAAUCUACUUAACUACCCUUGUUUGCUAUUUGAAUCAUUAUCCAUUGUAGUUAUUUUAAUUUGUCUACUUUUUGUAGGAUCUUUAAUAGUUUUACAGUACAGAUUGAAAUAUUAAAGCUUAAGGAAAUGAGUACUAGGCAUAUUGUGUUGUUACUUUUUUCACUGUGAAUUCAAUAGGAAACCUUGUAAAUUAUUCAUUGUUUUGUGUUGUAUAAAAUGUAAAUGAUAGCAAAUAUUAAUGAUAAAAAAUCUAAAACAACAACUAUUUGUGUACUUUCAGAGUUGUUUGUUUGCAGAUUAAUAAAGACCCAUUUUGGUGUGUAUGGUUUGGAAUAUUGUCAACAUUCAGGUAUUUGUACAAAGCAGAUCCUUAAUAUUUGAACAAAAAAAAACUUUAAUUUUAAAUACCAAGACAAUGACAGUUAUAGGUCAAAAUGAUUGUUGACUUAACUCCCAAUGUAAAAACAUUUUUUUUUGUUUUUGUUCAUGAAUUAAGGAAGUGGAUGUUAUAUUGUAUAAUUUAAAUCAUGACCUUUCAAGGGUACUUUUUGACCAACUCAGUGGUCUUGUAGUGAUGUGAAUGACUCAAGUAAAGAGGUUUUUGUUAGAUAACCAAGACUUGAAAAUUGGUAUUUUCUGCUUCUCUGCUAAGCACCCUGCAAUUAGGAAUAAGAGCAAAGACUGUCAACCACAAAUGAGAAUAAUUCGGUUGGAUAGGAUGACAUGUCUUCUUGGAGACUUUUGCUUUGUACAUUAUCACGUUAAAAUAAACAGCUCAGUGUUUGUUUACUAUACAGCAGGUUUCAUAUUCAUAUUGAAAUGUCCUCAUCCUAUAAAUGCAUUCAACUUGCAUCCAGACAUUAAACAACCAUUCAGGAUCGUCAUAACUGGUAUUUUAAAGUUCAGAUAAGCAUUCAGUAGUACAAUUUAUUUUCGUAUCCCAGGUAAACUGGUAAAGAAAAAGUUGUAAGCAAAUAAACUAAAACAAAAAGUGUUUAUAAUUUUUAUUAAAAUAAUACAAAAUAAUAUAACAUGAAUGACACUAGACAUAUAACUUUUAUUAGAAUAAAACAACAUUCAAUAUGUUGUAAUUGGAUUAUAGACGUUCAUCUUUCUUCAGGGAUUUCCUUUACUGGUCUGUUCUGUUAUUUGACUCCGUUAUUUGUCAUUUCGGAUAUAAGCAUACUCCGCUUUAUUGCAUAAUUUUCUCUGGCAAAUAGGCUAUUCAUAUAACCAGAAUGUACUGUAUAACAAAUCUUAACAUCUUUUUUCAGCAUGUUACCACUUCUUAUUAAAGAUGGUUUGACAACAGCCUUUAUUGGAUCUACACUGUUGUAUUUAAUUUUAUCCUUAUCAUUGUAUGACCUGGUGCAAUACACUGGAUGGAGAAAGUCUCUACAAAAAUUAAUGGUAAGUGUUUGAACAUGUUAAGUUACUAUAAAAUUCACCCUGAACUCUUAUUUGACUAAUAAUCAUAAUGGUAUACACAGAAGGGAUAACAAAAGGAAUUACCAAAAAUAUAAAACUUAACAGCAAACCACACCAAACAUCAUCAUCCUUGACUCCUCCCUUAGCUAAAAGAUGUAAAACAAAGACAAAAAAUUAUGAACAAGACAUGUUGCAGUCAUGAAAUAUAUUGGUUUUUUUUACAGUUUUACUUGUAUCAACAACCUCACAAUUUGAUUAUCUAGACUUUUAUUUUUAAAAUAUAAGGUUAGACUUAACCAACAAAUGCCAGCAUUGUAAUCAAAAUUUUAUAGAUUUUUUGUGAGGUAAGUGGGACACUCAAAGAGUCUUGCAGGCAUCACAGCUAUUUUCAAAUCAGAAUAACUUUGUGAAAUUACACUUAUAAUAAUAUUUACCUUGAUAUUUUUUUGUCCAUUUCAGUUUUUAGUAUCAUUACUUGGAAUGGCUGUUUUAACCAUAGGGAGUUUGACAGUAAAACCACCAGUUCAUCUACCAGACUUGUUUCCUGUUCUAGUCUCAGCAUAUUCUUGUUUUCAUUUUGUGCUAUUUUUAGUUUAUUUUCAUUACAGACAGUUCACACUUGCAAAUGACAAACAAGAUGAAGUAUUA